AAAUUGAAGAGUUUGAUCAUGGCUCAGAUUGAACGCUGGCGGCAGGCCUAACACAUGCAAGUCGAACGGUAACAGGAAGCAGCUUGCUGCUUCGCUGACGAGUGGCGGACGGGUGAGUAAUGUCUGGGAAACUGCCUGAUGGAGGGGGAUAACUACUGGAAACGGUGGCUAAUACCGCAUAACGUCGCAAGACCAAAGAGGGGGACCUUCGGGCCUCUUGCCAUCAGAUGUGCCCAGAUGGGAUUAGCUUGUUGGUGAGGUAACGGCUCACCAAGGCGACGAUCCCUAGCUGGUCUGAGAGGAUGACCAGCCACACUGGAACUGAGACACGGUCCAGACUCCUACGGGAGGCAGCAGUGGGGAAUAUUGCACAAUGGGCGCAAGCCUGAUGCAGCCAUGCCGCGUGUAUGAAGAAGGCCUUCGGGUUGUAAAGUACUUUCAGCGGGGAGGAAGGUGUUGUGGUUAAUAACCGCAGCAAUUGACGUUACCCGCAGAAGAAGCACCGGCUAACUCCGUGCCAGCAGCCGCGGUAAUACGGAGGGUGCAAGCGUUAAUCGGAAUUACUGGGCGUAAAGCGCACGCAGGCGGUCUGUCAAGUCGGAUGUGAAAUCCCCGGGCUCAACCUGGGAACUGCAUUCGAAACUGGCAGGCUUGAGUCUUGUAGAGGGGGGUAGAAUUCCAGGUGUAGCGGUGAAAUGCGUAGAGAUCUGGAGGAAUACCGGUGGCGAAGGCGGCCCCCUGGACAAAGACUGACGCUCAGGUGCGAAAGCGUGGGGAGCAAACAGGAUUAGAUACCCUGGUAGUCAACGACGUAAACGAUGUCUACUUGGAGGUUGUGCCCUUGAGGCGUGGCUUCCGGAGCUAACGCGUUAAGUAGACCGACUGGAGAGUACGGCCGCAAGGUUAAAACUCCAAUGAAAUGACGGGGGCUCGCACACGCGGUGGAGCAUGUGGUUUAAUUAGAUGCGACGCGAAGAACCUUACAUGGUCUUGACGUCCACGGAAGACUUCAGAUAUGGAUUAGUGGCAUCGGCAACCGGGAGACAGGUGCUGCAUGGCUGUCGUCAGCUCGUGUUGUGAAAUGUUGGGUUAAGUCCCGCAACGAGCGCAACCCUUAUCCUUUGUUGCCAGCGGUCCGGCCGGGAACUCAAAGGAGACUGCCAGUGAUAAACUGGAGGAAGGUGGGGAUGACGUCAAGUCAUCAUGGCCCUUACGACCAGGGCUACACACGUGCUACAAUGGCGCAUACAAAGAGAAGCGACCUCGCGAGAGCAAGCGGACCUCAUAAAGUGCGUCGUAGUCCGGAUUGGAGUCUGCAACUCGACUCCAUGAAGUCGGAAUCGCUAGUAAUCGUGGAUCAGAAUGCCACGGUGAAUACGUUCCCGGGCCUUGUACACACCGCCCGUCACACCAUGGGAGUGGGUUGCAAAAGAAGUAGGUAGCUUAACCUUCGGGAGGGCGCUUACCACUUUGUGAUUCAUGACUGGGGUGAAGUCGUAACAAGGUAACCGUAGGGGAACCUGCGGUUGGAUCACCUCCUUACCUUAAAGAAGC
rnacentral:rRNA from 1 species